UUCCGGUUGAUCCUGCCGGACCUGACUGCUAUCGGAUUGAUACUAAGCCAUGCGAGUCUUUGUAGUAAUACAAGGCAUACGGCUCAGUAACACGUAGUCAACCUACCCUAUGGACGAGAAUAAUCUCGGGAAACUGAGCAUAAUUCUUGAUAGAUCAUAAUGCCUGGAAUGGUUUAUGGUUAAAAUGAUUCGUCGCCAUAGGAUGGGACUGCGGCCUAUCAGCUUGUUGGUGAGGUAAUGGCCCACCAAGGCGAUUACAGGUACGGGCUCUGAGAGGAGAAGCCCGGAGAUGGGUACUGAGACAAGGACCCAGGCCCUAUGGGGCGCAGCAGGCGAGAAAACUUUGCAAUGUGCGAAAGCACGACAAGGUUAAUCCGAGUGAUUUCUGCUAAAGAAAUCUUUUGCAAGUCAUAAAACCACUAGUGAAUAAGGGGUGGGCAAGUUCUGGUGUCAGCCGCCGCGGUAAAACCAGCACCUCAAGUGGUCAGGAGGAUUAUUGGGCCUAAAGCAUCCGUAGCCGGCUCUGUAAGUUUUCGGUUAAAUCCAUGUGCUCAACGCAUGGGCUGCCGAAAAUACUGCAUAGCUAGGGAGUGGGAGAGGUAGACGGUACUCGGUAGGAAGGGGUAAAAUCCUUUGAUCUAUCGAUGACCACCUGUGGCGAAGGCGGUCUACCAGAACACGUUCGACGGUGAGGGAUGAAAGCUGGGGGAGCAAACCGGAUUAGAUACCCGGGUAGUCCCAGCUGUAAACGAUGCAGACUCGAUGAUGCAUUGGCAUAUAGCCAGUGCAGUGUCGCAGGGAAGCCGUUAAGUCUGCCGCCUGGGAAGUACGUACGCAAGUAUGAAACUUAAAGGAAUUGGCGGGGGAGCACCACAAGGGGUGAAGCCUGCGGUUCAAUUGGAUUCAACGCCGGG
rnacentral:rRNA from 1 species